rnacentral:rRNA from 1 species
GUCGUAACAAGGUUUCCGUAGGUGAACCUGCGGAAGGAUCAUUAUC